rnacentral:tRNA from 1 species
GACAUCGCUGGACGGGUGUGGAUCUUGUUCGUGAGACUCGUAAUGAACAGGUCAUCGGUUCGAUUCCGAUAGGCGGCUCCA